GUGAAGUAAUGCAGGAUUGGUUGCUCAAGUCUCCUUUCCUGUCUCCCUCAGUCAAGGAUGCAGUUAUAAUGUAGCAGCUUGUCUCCGGUCAGUUUGCUGAGCAGUGACAUACUGCAUACCUCAUCAUGGCACAUCAUUUCUGGGGGUCUAUGCCAAAACAGCCAGUGCCUGAGUAACCCCGUCAACCCCUUAAAGGGGAUGUAUGAUGUUGAGAUCCAGCUUUGCCACUCAGGACAGUUGAUAGCCUCAUGCAGAAUUCACAAAAUGUUGCAAACAUCUGAUGCUUGAGGAGGCAAGGCACAAUAUUAAAGGGAAGAGGCGGUGUGUGGUUCUCUCCUGACAGAAGAAACAGUGACGCACAGUGGCACCAUGGCAACGAGAGGCUCACCCCCUGCCUGACCCCCAUCCUCCUGCUCUCGUUCUCCUGCACAGUCUGUGUUCAGC